UUUUCAUAAAUUUUUUUGUAAUAUGUGUUGACAAAAAGUGAAAACCCGUAAACAAUAGUAAUUAGUAAUAUUACUUGUUUUCUUUUAAGCAUCCUCAUUGAAGGUCAAACAAAUGACAGAAAGGGAAAGAGAGAUGAAGAAACAUACAGAUUUAUCGAUUUAAGUCAAUCAAUAAGAAGAAAUUAAACUGAUUGAAGUUAAUAAGUUUAUUGCAUCAUCCUAAGGCUGCGUCUGUGGAACGUGACUUUCAAUCAGGCCCCUCUCAACACCUUGCAACAACAAGGACCAACAACAACCCUCUCACAAAACUUGUUCCACAGCAAAAUUAAUUAAUAAAGCGACUUUGAAAUACU